GUAAUUCCAGGUUCCUGUCCAAGAUGGCGACGUUCAAAGACCCCGGAACUCACUGAGCACUCCAGGGAACAUGCCAAAUUAUACCUGUUUAUUGACCAAUUCUUCCCGAGGAAGAACCGAGGGCCAACUGAACACUCCUGCACACCAAGGCGAAAGAGAACAGCGGGAGAGACGGAGACAAGCUGGAAAACCCAGCAGCUGGCCGAGCUGCUAUUCAAGAGAAGGCGCCACAGUCUCUGCUCUAAGCUCCCUGCAGUGUGGCUGCUGGAUUCCACAGUGUGUCUGAUUGUUGGAUAAUGUUAUCAGACCUCUCAUGAACUACCUCUUCCAUUUCAAUGACAACCUUAGUUGUCAUGGAAAUUAUGCACAAGGAGACAGAGGAGUGUGAGAGGGAAUACAUGUGUAUUGGGGCCGACUAUGAACCCAGUGCUCACCCAGCUCCAGGGUGCACUGUACUGACAGCCUGGGCCUCUCGCAGACAGUUUGGUGUUGAACUCCUCCACCAAGCUCUACUGGACGGACUUGAGCACACACCUACCCAGACUGGGGCGCCUUACUUCAGAAGUUCCUACAAAUGAGGGCUUUCCAGUCACUAAGGUUUCCUCAUGAAGACAGAAGACUCAUGGACGAAAAAGUCAGUUUCUAAGAGGAUGGCUAAGAGAGCCUUCCCUACUCCCCCCUUUCCCACUGAAAGACCAAACUACCCUUUGGUACUCUGGCAUCAGUGGCUGUGUGGAAUGGGCAUGCUAGAAGGAGCACCCCUUCCAGAUAAUGUGGGUACGUGCCAGACCGUGCCCACCGUGUGCCAGAUGCUCAGCGAUACAGCUAAGAUGAUAUCUCCUGGGAUUCUAUGCAACAAAAACAAUGCGCCCCCAAAUAAAGAGCUGACUGCGUUUCCACUGCAUCCCCCUUCUUCAGGCAAAAUGAACUUUGUCAAAUCUCACCUUCCAUUUCAAGCCUACACUGGACCCAGAACCUCUAGUGCUGGGUUACAAUACAAGUCGUGGGGAGGAAAAUUGAGAGGGAGGCCUCAAUAAACAGAAGUGUGUGAUCAUGAGCAGGAGAAAUCCUAUGGUUUCCAGAGCUGCAGGAGCAGGGACCAGUAAGCCGUCGCUAUUGUUGAAGGAGCCUGGCUUCCUCCUGGGGGAUGUGGCCUCUCACCAGGCUGGACCCUGUCUCAGGGGCAUCACCGCUGGUAACUGGCUGAUUUGCUCUGAUAUCUCCACCCUCCACCUUUUGGCAGCAUUGUAUGUGUAGGUCGAAUGCAGCAAUUGAGUGCUAAAUGAAAUC